UACGGAGGGUGCAAGCGUUAUCCGGAUUCACUGGGUUUAAAGGGUGCGUAGGCGGGUUGGUAAGUCCGUGGUGAAAUCUCCAAGCUUAACUUGGAAACUGCCGUGGAUACUAUCAAUCUUGAAUAUCGUGGGGGUAAGCGGAAUAUGUCAUGUAGCGGUGAAAUGCUUAGAUAUGACAUAGAACACCAAUUGCGUAGGCAGCUUACUACACGAUC
rnacentral:rRNA from 1 species